GCCACCACCAUGGUAGUACACGAUGAGAGGAAGUUUUGUGGUGCUAGUGUUAUUAUCUAGGGCUUGACGGGGUAGGAAUAUGCGGACAUAGGUGUUGUGUUCUGGGUUGAGAAUUACAUCUUUGGUGAUCACAGGCGUGGAACCAUCGUGAUCAUCAGGAGCAGCAGCGGUUCGAGGAAAUUCGUAAAGACGUUUGAGAGUACCAUCGUCGUUUUCAACGAUGUGGAGAAGCUUAAAUGGAUCAAUUGGCUUUGUAGUUUCUUCUCUAGACAUGGUAUAUAUUGAAAUAUGUUUUUUUUUUUGAGAAUCUUAUAUUGAAAUAUGUUGAUCAAGUACUGUGUUGAAUAAAGUAAGUGUGGCUCCCUA